GACGAACGCUGGCGGCGUGCCUAAUACAUGCAAGUAGAACGCUGAAGAGAGGAGCUUGCUCUUCUUGGAUGAGUUGCGAACGGGUGAGUAACGCGUAGGUAACCUGCCUUGUAGCGGGGGAAAACUAUUGGAAACGAUAGCUAAUACCGCAUAACAAUGGAUGACACAUGUCAUUUAUUUGAAAGGGGCAAUUGCUCCACUACAAGAUGGACCUGCGUUGUAUUAGCUAGUAGGUGAGGUAAUGGCUCACCUAGGCGACGCUACAUAGCCGACCUGAGAGGGUGAUCGGCCACACUGGGACUGAGACACGGCCCAGACGCCUACGGGAGGCAGCAGUAGGGAAUCUUCGGCAAUGGGGGCAACCCCGACCGAGCAACGCCGCGGGAGUGAAGAAGGGUGUCGGAUCGUAAAGCUCUGUUGUAAGUCAAGAACGGGUGUGAGAGUGGAAAGUUCACACUGUGACGGUAGCUUACCAGAAAGGGACGGCUAACUACGUG
rnacentral:rRNA from 1 species